UCUGAGCAAACUCUGGGAGAUGGUGAAGGACAGGGAAGCCUGACGUGCUGCAGUCCAUGGAGUCGCAAAGAGUUGGAUACAACUGAGCGACUUCACUUUCCUUUAGCAACUGAACAACAACAAGCCGUGAGGGGUGGCUGCUGGAGGGAAAAUUCCCUCUGCUCCCAUUCCUCUUCCUGCAGAGCUCAGAGCACUGACCUGGACACUGUGCUACAGAAACCCCAAGAGUGAUUGGCCAGGCCUUGGAAAUAAUACGCUUACUAGUCAGAGUCACGUCCGCUUACCCAGAUCACGGCAUUUCUGUGGUUCCCGGCACCGAGGGGGAGAAGAUGUUGUCUUGGUGGCGAUAUCUCAUCCAGAACUCCUAUCACUUUUGUGGAUCCUUUACCACUGAGCCGCCUGGGAAGCUCCUGCAAAGGGAGAUACUCACUGUCAUAAAAAGGUUUGCCUUCUGCUUAGGGAUCUCUCACUUGGGUGAUAUAGACAGUACUAGAGAGCACCGUGGCGGAAUUGAAUUGGGAAGGGACAGUAAAGAAACAACGAGGAAACAAAUUGGGAAACAGAGUAUUUCUGAUGUUAACUGGAGCUAGCACCUCUGACUCAAGAGGUGGUUUGCAGGGGCCCCGGUCAGGCCUCUUCAGAGCGGGCGUGGCGGUGAGCUGCAGGCAGUGUUUUGAGAAAAUCUGAGCAGUGGUGGAGAGGGCUUCCCCGACCCUGUUCUCUGCUUUGCUGUCAAUCCUGAGCAGUGAUAAGCAUGUGGGCUGCUGGGCGCGUGAUGCUUAGAAACACCCUUCCUCAGGGGAUCCCCAGCUAUUCAGGCGGUGUCUCUUAUGCUUUGGAAAAUCAAAACAAGUGAAGAAUCAGGAAUGUUCUGGGAAGAAGAAACAGCGAUUGCAUAGUCUGUAACCUAGGGAAGAUUUUUAUGUGUUUGGGGAACUGAAAGACCAGUAGGGAGAGAGAAGAGAGAGCACAGGAGGGGAGCGGCUGGUCGUGGGGGAGAGAGCUGGGCUGUGGGCCGGUGGAUGCGGGUCGUGGGAGGGAGCUUCAAUUUUUAUUGUCAGUGUGUAGGUAACCCAGGGCCUUUAAGCUGGAGAAUUGCAAAGGAUGUGAUAUGUAUUUACUCAACCUUUAGGAAGAUCGCUAAGAAACUUCCAGACACUCUCUGAAAUGAUAAGCUAUUGAAAGUCCUCAUCGAUGUUUAGCCCAGGAUCUGCGGGGUAGGCUGGGGUACAAGAGACCCAUCCAUCUGCUUACAGUAUCCCGUCCGCUGGCCGCACAGCAUCCCAGAUGUCUCUCUUCAGCACCUUCUGGUGUCUAUAGGUCUUUAUUCAAAAUUGAGCUUCUCACGGUUUUCAAGAGGAUGAGGCAAUAGUCUAUAUUCCUGGCCCCUGGAUAUUGAAGAGGAAGGUCACAAAAUGAAAUUUCACCUUGGAGAUUUUGCUGAAUUAGAAAGCUCUCCCAAAUGUAACUAAACCGGAGAGAAUGGAGUGAUCUCUUUAAGAAAUCUUCAAAAUGACAAUAAAGUUCUCUCCAGGUCGUUUUUCUCCAAAUCAAGCUGUAACAAUUUGUAGGACUUCCUGGUGGCUCAGCCGUGAAGAAUCCGCCUGCAAUGCAGGAGAUGUGGGUUCGAUCCCUGGGUUGGGAAGAUCCGCUACAGAAGGAAACGGCAACCCACUCCAGUAUUCUUGCCUGGGAAAUCCCCUGGACAGAGGAGCCUGGCGGGCUACAGUCCAUGGGUUUGCAAGAGUCAGACACGGCUUAGCAACUAAACCAUGACCACCAAUGAUGUGUAAGAAAACGACAGACCCUACUCUAAGGCUUCACCUAUUUGAAGUGGGUAAAAUACAGGUAUAUAUCAGUCAGCUGAAGUUUAGUUACGCUGCAGGAACAAAGAACCCCAACUCUGUGUUCACAAAGACAAGGUCCUUUCCUCCCUAAGUUACAGUUUGCAGGCCAUUUGGACUCUGUUUGCUGUUUUUAUCCCAGAACCUCGGCUGAAGGAGCAGGCUCGCCUGGAACACAACAGCUUCACUGUGGAGGGAAGAACAGUGGCGAGAUGACCCAUCAGCUCUGAAGGCUCCUGGCCGAGAUGGCACAGGCUGUGCCAUCUCUCACAUUUCAUUGCCCAAAGGGAAUCAGAUGGUCAAGCCCAAUGUUAGCAGGAACGGAAGAAUAAUUGUUCUGUAGGAACUGGUCUGCAGAGAAGGGCAGUGAAUAUUACGAACAAAUAAUACGGCAUGUAACAAUGCAAUAUUUUGCUCUCUCCAUUUCUUUGAACCAAAUUUCAAGGGGAAAAUUCAGUGACAGUCUUUUAUUAAUAGAACUGAAAACUUUCAGAUACUGCAAUUCAGAAUGUGAUCCAGUCCCUGAAAAUUAGCAUCACACGCAUUCCUUUUGAAGGAUAACUUGUGAAAGUCUGAAACGUGCAGUUUGGAAGUGAUUAGCCCAAUUUUGCUAGAAGAAAAGAGCAUUUAAUAAAGCAGAGUUCUUAGUUUCUAAUCUCAUCUUGUACCAAUUCCUCAAACAUUUGAGACCAACCGCUAGGAGCACUUUUAUACAGAGAAAAGAAAAAAGGAAUCUUGUAUUUCUUUCUUGAAGUUAGGGUGAAUGGGAUGAAAAGACUGUAUUGUUCACAUAAUUUUGGUCAGCGUUAUGUCCACUUAAGAAAAUCUGUAUUGUGUGGUUAGCUAUGGAGAAGGAAACUAUAUUCACCAAGGAGGAAAAAAAAAUCCCAGCCUAGGUAAGUCAAGGAGAAAAGUGAAAGUAGCUCAGUUGUGUCUGACUCUGCGACCCCAUAGACUGUAGCCCUCCAGGCUCCUCUCUCUCUGGGAUUC